AACGAACGCUGGCGGCAUGCCUAACACAUGCAAGUCGAACGAGACCUUCGGGUCUAGUGGCGCACGGGUGCGUAACGCGUGGGAAUCUGCCCUUGGGUUCGGAAUAACAGUUGGAAACGAUUGCUAAUACCGGAUGAUGACGUAAGUCCAAAGAUUUAUCGCCCAAGGAUGAGCCCGCGUAGGAUUAGCUAGUUGGUGAGGUAAAGGCUCACCAAGGCGACGAUCCUUAGCUGGUCUGAGAGGAUGAUCAGCCACACUGGGACUGAGACACGGCCCAGACUCCUACGGGAGGCAGCAGUGGGGAAUAUUGGACAAUGGGCGAAAGCCUGAUCCAGCAAUGCCGCGUGAGUGAUGAAGGCCUUAGGGUUGUAAAGCUCUUUUACCCGGGAUGAUAAUGACAGUACCGGGAGAAUAAGCUCCGGCUAACUCCGUG
rnacentral:rRNA from 1 species